GUUUUAAUUGCAGUUAACAGUGUAAAGGGUAAAAUAAACGCAAGUUCCACAUUACUAUUAAAUAGUUAUGAGUACUAUCACUUGAGCUUCAUAUUGCUGAAGUUGUGCGGCAGAUAAAGUGCAACCAAAUGGAGACGAGCGGAAAAGUACCCUUGUUUUUCCGAUUCGUUGCCCACCUAGUUGUUCUGAUCAUCAUACUCCACAAAACAAGCUAUGCCGGCCAUAAUAAGCAAAAUUGUCCACCUUCUUCCUGUGGCAACCUCAAUCGCAUUAGCCACCCUUUCCGUCUUACAACCGAUCCUCAAGACUGCGGAGAUCAAAGGUACGAGCUCUCAUGCGAGAACAACCUUCCCUUCUUAUACUUGCGUAUGCCUUACACACAUGAAAUCAGAUAUUACAAGUUCCAUGUACAGGCAAUUAAUUACGAAAACUCUACAAUUAGAGUUGUUGAUCCCGAUCUUCGGAAGGAUGAUUGCUCCUCCAUCCCUAAAAUUUCCAUUAGCAAAGACGACAUUUUGUUCGAAAAUAAAUUUGAAACAAAAAUCAAGUAUAAUCGCGUUGCUCAUGGUUGUUGGUCGCUGGAGUUCCCGCUCGAUUACAAUCUUAUAGAGACUGUACUAUUCUUGGCAUGUGAAAAGCCGAUGAAUAGUUCCCAUCUUUAUAAUUGGAUAGACAGAACUCCUCGCGACAAUAACAACUCCGCUUCGUCGCAAUCCAAAAGGCUAUACUCCUACGUUGUUGUCAAUGGAAAUUUAAGUUUCUCAGAUUUGGAAGAAUCAUGCCGAAUAGAUGCAAUGACUCUGAUAAGGAAAGGAAAGAAUCUCAACACAAGUUCCUAUAGAGGUAUCCACAAUGAACUUGUUUACGGGUUUGAGCUUUCAUGGUUACCGGGCUUGGAAAUGGAGAGUUUUAUAGACGGAUACAUUAGGACUUGCUACGUCGAUGAAGACUUCAACAAGGUCCGAUGCCUCACUCACUGCGGACGUUUCCACGUGCCAGUAAGAGGAUUCCUUGAGAUACUAAUACCACCGAGAAUCAUGGCUGCCAUGCUUGUGAUUUCCUAUUUGAUAUACAAGUGGAAAAGGCGGCAUCUAUCGGUAUAUGACGGCAUAGAGGAAUUUCUCCAUAGCUAUAGUGAUUUGAUACCUGUAAGAUACUCUUCAUGGGACAUUAGAAAGAUGUCCGGGGGCUUCAAGGAUAAAUUAGGCGAGGGAGGCUUUGGGUCUGUAUACAAGGGAAACCUUUCUAAUGGUCGCCUCGUAGCAAUAAAAGUGUUGGCCGGUAAAUCCAAGGCAAACGGGCAAGACUUCAUCAAUGAGGUUUCUACUAUCGGAAGGAUUCACCAUGUCAACGUCGUGCAGCUAAUCGGUUUCUAUGUUGAGGGAUCAAAGCGAGCUCUUAUUUACGAAUUCAUGCCUAAUGGAUCUCUAGACAAGUACAUUUUCCCAAAAUCAGGAAUAACUAAUUAUUCCUUAGAUUCCAAGAAAAUAUUUGAGAUUUCACUCGGCAUUGCUCGUGGAAUUGAGUAUCUUCAUCGAGGAUGUAACAUGCGAAUUCUGCAUUUUGAUAUUAAGCCUCACAACAUUCUCUUGGAUGAGAACUUUAUUCCCAAGAUUUCAGAUUUUGGACUCGCAAAAAUGUGCCCACUAGAAGAUAGUCUAGUGUCUUUAACUGCGGCAAGAGGAACAUUCGGAUACAUUGCUCCAGAGUUAUUUUACAAAAACAUUGGAGGAGUCUCUUACAAAGCUGAUGUCUAUAGUUUCGGAAUGUUGUUAAUGGAAAUAGCAAAUAAAAGAAAAAAUUUAAAUGCAAAUGCUGAGGAUUCAAGCCAAAUUUACUUUCCUUCAUGGAUAUAUGAUCAAUUUAGUAAAGGAAAAGACAUGGAAGUGGCGGACGCAACAGAGGAGGAAUCAAGAACAACAAAGAAGAUGAUCAUAGUAGCAUUGUGGUGCAUACAAUUGAAGCCUUGUGAUCGUCCUUCAAUGAACAGAGUCAUAGAAAUGCUCGAAGUCGAACUUGAAUCCCUACAAAUGCCGCCAAAGCCUUACCUAUAUCCGCAAGAGGAAGAACAAGAGAGGCACAACGUUGAGGAUGCUGCGGACAAAUCAUCUUCAUCAACAUUAUCAUAAUAGAAUUCUAAAGAGCCGAGUUUGGUCUCAAAUGCCCAUUAAGAAAAGUAGGUCUUCCGCAAUAUCUUCUUUAGCAAAUUGGUGUAUCAUGAAAGCCAGGUAGAGAGCGUUGCUACAAGAAUUGGCUCUUGAUUUUAUACGUAUCAACAAAAUGUCAAUUUAUGCUACAAGAAUUGGUCCAUGAUUUUAUUACGUAUCAACAACUUUUCAAUAGAUUGAC